rnacentral:rRNA from 1 species
CUCCUUUGACGUUAGCGGCGGACGGGUGAGUAACACGUGGGUAACCUACCUAUAAGACUGGGAUAACUUCGGGAAACCGGAGCUAAUACCGGAUAAUAUUUCGAACCGCAUGGUUCAUAGUGAAAGAUGGUUUUGCUAUCACUUAUAGAUGGACCCGCGCCGUAUUAGCUAGUUGGUAAGGUAACGGCUUACCAAGGCGACGAUACGUAGCCGACCUGAGAGGGUGAUCGGCCACACUGGAACUGAGACACGGUCCAGACUCCUACGGGAGGCAGCAGGA